AUUGAACGCUGGCGGCAUGCUUUACACAUGCAAGUCGGACGAGUGGCGAACGGGUGAGUAACGCAUCGGAACGUACCGGGUGGUGGGGGAUAACUGUCCGAAAGGACAGCUAAUACCGCAUACUAUUAGAGCGGCCGAUGUGGGAUUAGCUGGUUGGCGGGGUAAAGGCCCACCAAGGCGACGAUCCGUAGCGGGUCUGAGAGGAUGACCAGCCACACUGGGACUGAGACACGGUCCAGACUCCUACGGGAGGCAGCAGUGGGGAAUUUUGGACAAUGGGCGCAAGCCUGAUCCAGCCAUGCCGCGUGUCUGAAGAAGGCCUUCGGGUUGUAAAGGACUUUUGUCAGGGAAGCGGUACCUGAAGAAUAAGCACCGGCUAACUCCGUGCCAGCCGCCGCGGUAAUUC
rnacentral:rRNA from 1 species